CAGAGCAGGAGGAGGAAAACUGAAGGCUGAGGCAGGACUGAAGUCCAGAAGAUGAGGGUUUGUGUGGAGGAAGAAGAGGAUCCAGGAUCCAGCUGUCUGGCUAUGAAGAGUGACUGGUCGAAAGAGUUAGAUGUUCCAAACUUCAGUAAUGAACCUGGACCCUCAGCCACAAACAAUUUGACAGCGAAGGCCUGAUUCACGCAGUCUCCUCUGAACAGUUGAUGCUGAGAUGUGUCUGCAACUUGAACUCUGUAAAGCAUUUAUGUGGGCUCUAAUCUGAGGCUUUCUGAGGCUGGUAACUCUGAUGAACUUAUCCUCUGCAGCAGAAGUAACUCUUGGUCUUCCUUUCCUGGGGCAGUCCUCAUGAGAGCCAGUUUCAUCAUAGUGUUUGAUGGUUUUUGCAACUGCACUUGAGGAUACAUGCAAAGUUCUUGAAAUCUUGGGGAUGGACUGACCUUCAUGUCUUAAAGUAAUGAUGGACUGUCAUUUCUCUGUACUUAGCUGAGCGGUUCUUGCCAUGAUAUUGAUUAAAACAGUAAUCAAUAUCAUGGCCAUCCCAACUUCUGCAAAACACAUCUGAUUGUCUCAAACUCA